UACGUAGGCAGCGAGCGUUGUUCGGAAUUACUGGGCGUAAAGAGUGUGUAGGCGGUGCUCUAAGUUCGGUGUGAAAUCUCUCGCUUAACUGGGAGGGUGCGCCGGGAACUGGAGUGCUCGAACGUGGGAGAGGAAAGCGGAAUUCCUGGUGUAGCGGUGAAAUGCGUAGAUAUCAGGAGGAACACCCGUAGCGAAGGCGGCACUCUGGGCCGGAACUGACGCUGAGGAGCGAAAGCGUGGGGAGCGAACAGG
rnacentral:rRNA from 1 species